rnacentral:lncRNA from 1 species
ACAAGAAAACAAUUAAAAGAAAUUAUUUACUAAAAUCAAUUCUACAAAUUAAAAUAACUUACCUCCCCGGCAACGGUGCCAAAAACUUGUUGUGCAAAUUUUAUUGAACUCGCAAGUGCACGAAUCUAUUGUAGAAUAGAUCAAUGAUGACGAGUGUCGAACCCACGAGAAGGUGGAUUUUAAUUGUGUGUAGAAUUAAUUUUCUAUGAGAGUGGUUGGAUUUAUGGUAAAGAUGAUUUGGAAUAUCUUAAAAUUUAAAUUGAAAUGGCAUAAUUAAAUUAAAGUGGAAACUAUAAUAAUUGAAGCGCUUGGGUAUCUAGAUCCGCAUCAACACGCACCAUGGGCUAAAUAUUCAUUAUUAGUGCCAAUUAAAUCAUGAGGGGGGAAUCCACACCUCAUGAACCACACUCUAAUCAAUAUGAUGCUAAGGGCUUAUCGCGCCAAAUAAUAAUAACCUUGUACUAGGGAGCCGGUGAAACUAGAGCGGUAUCUAGACAAGAUUAUUACUAUUUGUCAACGAAAAGUCAAAACAUCCACAAAGAUUAAAGGGGAAGAGAAAUUAAAUUUACCAAAUAAAGCCCAUGGCACAUGUUGAGACUUCAUCUUCAACCUAAGCUUGAAAGAAAAUUAGCUACUCAUAAUUGAACUAGGGGCAAAAUGGAAAUUUAUUAAAAUAUGUAGAAAAUACAAGAUGAAGAAAGAAUUACAGAAAAUGGAGCCCAAAAAUGGAUUCAGAGAUGCCAAAUUAGGGGGGAGAGUCCCUCUUUUUAUAGAUACAUUGAGUAAAUCAUGGCCAUCGAAUUAAAAACAGUUUGGACGCUCAGGAUUGUGCCACGUCAUCAGUCAACAGUACACGGUUUGACCACGCGGUUUGAAUAGUGACACAGUUUGACCACGCGGUUUAAACAGUCAACCAGCUUGAAUAGUAACGCGGUUUGGUUGAAAAUAAUCCUGUGUAUAUGCAUGUACUGUACGCGUAAUUUUUUGGUCCACUAACAUGCUGCCACGUCACCGAUCAACAGUGCAUAAGAAUUUUCUCUAAUGGAAUUGUGACACCUCAUCAGUCAAUGCCACAUUAUUGGUCAAUGCCACGUCAUCAGUCCGUAUAUGUGAUCAGUGUCAUGAACAGUAAUAUGGACAAUACCAUACAUGUGAACAGUGACAUUUUUCCUUUUAUGCUCCUCUUAAGGUUUUCGACUGUCUUGAGUUCAAAAGUGAUGUCCGUUUUGCAGUCUGAUCUCUCGUUCAUUGUGAAAUGACUAUGAUGCUCCUAAAAUACAUAAAAUACUUAAUUAUAAUACAACACACAUAAUUAAAUGACAAGAGACUUAAAUACAUAAAAGUAGGAAUGUUAGUGGAACUUAAAGUGUAAAAUGACGAUUUUCUCCUUUAUAAAUAUACAUUUUCUAACACUCAACAGUUUACACUUUGUCAAGUACCUAUUGCACAUAAAAAUGACAUCAAUGUUUGGUGUGAUGGGCACUUAUUGCACGUAAAGUGUCAGCAACAUAUUAAACAUUUAUAUGCAACAGGUGUGCCUACGCAAAUACCACAAAUCAUCAUCAUCACUAUUCUCAUACAUACAACACAACAAUAAGGCAACAAACAUUCACUAUUCAUUUUGAACCUGAAAUAACCCAAAAAUGUUAGCCUAUAUGGCUAUAAAAGCUGAUUCUAAUGAUAACAAAUCAUAUAUUUUGGAUAAACAAAGAUUUACAUAUUGUGCUUUUAUAACAAGAGAAUGAUUUUAUGAAAUUAGUUGUUUUUCAAGAUGUGGACUAAAAUGAAAGAGUUUUGCCAUCUUUGUUUUUAAUAAAUAUUGUUUUGAAUUUCAGAUUUGGACCUAUUUAAAAAUAUUUAAAUAUUUUGGGCCAUACUAUAAUUUUACAUAUUUUGGGCCAUAUCAUAAAUUUAAAAAUUUUUGGGAAUAACAAGAUUAUUUAGAAACUCUGAAAUUGGACCUAUUUGAAAAGAUUCAUAAUAUUUUUAGGCCAUAACGCAAUUAUAUAAAGUUUUAGGAUAAAACUAUAAUUGUAGAAAAUAGCUCACUGUAGCAGUCACUGUGGCAAGCGGCUAACCGGAUUUAACAAGCGGUAGACCAAAUUUUGGGCAAUAGCUUACUAGAAUGAAUGCGGCUAACCGGAUUCCGAAAGCGGCAUGUUGGAUGUUCUAAAAUUCAAAUAUUUCCUGUGACGGUAACAUAAAAACGGCUAACCGAAUUCCGAAAGCGGCAAGUCGGUUAUUAUCAGAAAACUCAUAACGGCUAAUUUUUUAGCUCAAACUAUAUAAACUCAAAUCUAAUUCAUUUUCAAGAAUUCUAGCAAGCAAAAACAAAAAGUACACAAUAUAUAUUGAGCUUCCAUUUUCGUUAAUCAUCAUUUCUUGAAUUAUUAUUGUGCUAUAAUUUGUAUAUCCACUCUUAAAGAGAGUUUUUGUUGUAAUCCUCAUUUCCUCAUUAAAAUUGUGAGUGUGUAAGUGUGAGAAACACUUGGGUUAAGAGAUUGAGGAUAAUCUCUUAUUGUAAAGGUUCAUUGACACCUUGGAAGUCAAUUAUAAGCAUUUGAAGCCUUAGAAGGCUUGGAUAGUGGAAUCUUCAAGUCCAGUGUGCUUGGAGGCAUGGACAUAGGCGAGGAUUGCCGAAUCACGUAAAAUUCAUUGCAUUUGUUUUCUCUUCCCUUACUCUUUUAUUAUUGUAAUUUAUUGAAUUUAUUGUUUUCGAUUCCAUUAAGGCAUUAGAUUGAAUUGUUGUACGGUUUGCUUAGUUUAAGUUUCAAAAUCCCAAUUCACCCCCCUCUUGGGUUGCAUAACUUGGAUUUCAAAAAAUAUUCUCUCACACAUGUUCUCAAACACCUUAACUCUAAACUAUAUUUACGACAAUUGUUUAUUUUUUCACAAAUACAAAUCAACUACACUACUUUCUCACUAAUACAAAACUAAUACCCUAUUUUACAUGAAUAAUUCAAUUUCACGUCAACAAGAAAUCAAUCGUUUGGGGGCUCCAACAAUGUCAAGAGUUUAGGGUGAUAAGAAAUGGGAUUUUAAUCACCAAAACAAGUUGCCAUUGGCGGUUUUGCAUAUGGGAAGUAGAAAAGAGAAGUCCCAUCAACGAUGUCAAGACUUUAUGGUUUCAAUCAUUAGGGAUUGAAAGAAAUGAGAGUGAGUUCUUGAAAGGAAAAUCUAGCCCAAAAACUUAUACUUCACUAGAUAAGAUAAAAAAAGUUAAAACCAUGAGAGUUAAAAAAGCUAGCUUGCCUAAUCAGGCCCAAUAAAUUAACAAUAGCGCAUUAUGAAAUAUCAAGGUUGAAGCUUGCCUAAUCAAGCCCUCAAUGGAGAGUUUUUGAGAAAAGACUAAAUGUUAAAUUUACGAUUUAGACAAACAUGAACUUUUUCUUAUUUUAUUUCUUCUAGAACAUAGACAUAUUCAAAUUUAACAAGUUCAAACUUCACUUCUGUAAUCUUUUUUUUUUUUACAACAAAGUGCCACCUAGAAAAUGUAGUGUUAAAGAACAUUUUUAAGUAUUUUAUUGAUUGAUUAAAUUCAAUUUAAGUACCAAUCUUAUUUGAGCUUCUAUUAUAAGCACUAGUUACAGCUAGACAUAAGAUAUCUAUAGAAUACUAAGGAAUUUAUAGUAAAGCGAUUACAAAAUAAAUGAUAGGUUUGCUACAACAUCACCAAAGAGUCAUCUAAGUUUACUCUCCCAACAGUUAUUUACGUAUUUAUAUGCAAAUAGAAGUGAAAAAUAAGUUCUCUCUCAAAAGAUUCUUAAAAUCAUUUUAUAAUGUUGUGAUUAAAAUUAGGGCAUUGAUGCCAUAAUAGACAUGGACAAUUUGAUUUGAAUGAAAAAUCUCUACCAUUAAUUCUAAAUAAAUAGAUAACCAAUAACCUAAGUAACAUGUAAUUAUCCUUUUUAAUUUAAGUUACAGGUUACAUUACUAGUAUUACGUGUGAUUUAUAAAAUUAAAGUGUUACUUGACACUAAAUGUUGAUUUACAAGUAGUACGUAACAUUUACAAAUUUUUUGUUUGUUUAUAGAUUUGAAGACCAAUUUACAACUGCAACAUUGAUUUUCUAUGCAACAACUACAUGGACCCCUUCCUUUUUGUUGUUGCUAGCGCUUUCCCAAGCUGAGCCAAAAUUCUAUAUUCUAACGCAACUUCAUUUUACCUUAAAUUUACUAGUUUUAUGUGUGAUUUAUUAAUUUUUUCUUAUUUCACACUUAAUGUGAAUUUACAAAUUUUAUGUCAAUUUUCUAAGUUUUUAAUUUUUCUAGGAUUUUGAAGACUAAUUUAUCACUCCAACAUCAAUUUACUCCUUUUAUAUCUAACUUGCUAGUACUAUGUGUGAUUUACAAAUUUUUAUUUUUAUUCAAAUUUAAUGUCAAUUUAUAAGUUUUAUAUCAUUUUUUUUAGUUUGUUUUUUUCGCAAUUCUGCAGAUCAAUUUAUUAUUCCAACUUAAUCUACUCCGUUUUCCUUCAAUUUAAUAGUCCUAUGUGUGAUUUACAAAUUUUUGUUUUAUUUUACACCUAAUGUCAAUUUACAAGUUCUAUGCCAUUUUUCUAAGCUUUUGAUUCUUUUUACAAUUUUGAAGACCAAUUUACCACUCAUAUAUCAAUUUACCUUUUUUUCCUUCAAUUUACUAGUCCUAUAUGGGGUUUAAAAAUUUUUUAUUUCAUUCCACACUUAAUGUCAAUUUACAAAUUGUAUGUCAUUUUUCUAAGUGAUUGUUUUUUUAUGAUUCUGAAGACCAAUUUACCACUCAAAUAUUAAUUCACCAUUUUCUCUUUCAAUUUACUAGUAGUAUGUGUGGUUUAUAAAAUUUUUGUUUUAUUUCACACUUAAUGUCAAUUUACAAAUUUUAUAUAGUUUUUCUAAGUUUUUUUUUCUCUUUUAUUAUUUUUUACAAUUCUGACGACCAAUUUACUACUCCAAUAUUAAUUUACUCUUUUCCCUUCAAUUUACUAAUCCUAUGUGUGGUUCAAAAAAAUUUUGUUUCAUUUCGUACUUAAUGUUAAUUUACAAAUUCUAUGUCAUUUUUCUUAGUAUUUUUUUUCUUUUUCUUUUUUACAAUUCUAAAGAUCAAUUUAUCACUCUAAUAUUAAUUUAUCUCAUUUUCCUUCAAUUUACUAGUCCUAUGUGUGAUUUACAAUUUUUUUUUGUUUCAUUUCAUAGUUAAUAAAUUUAUGAGUCUUAUAUCGUUUUUAAAAUUUUUUUUAUAUCGUUUUUAAAAUUUUUUUUAUACAAUUCUUAAAACUAAUUUACCACUCCAACAUUAAUUUACCCUUUUUUCCUUUAAUUUACUAAUCCUAUAUAUGGUUUACAAAUUGUUUGUUUCAUUUCACACUUAAUGUCAAUUUACAAGUUUUAAUCAUUUUUCUAACUUUUUUUUUACAAUUUUGAAGACUAGUUUACCACUCUAACAUUAAUUUAUCAUUUUUUACUUCAGUUUACUAGUCCUAUAUGUAGUUUACAAACUUUUUGUUUCAAUUCACAGUUAAUGUCAAUUUUCAAAAUUUAAGUCAAUUUUUGAAAUUUUUGUCUUUUUUAAUUUUAAAGACUAAUUUACAACAUUAAUUUACCUAUUUUCCCUUCAAUUUACUAUUCGAAUGUGUGGUUUACAAUUUUUUUUUUCAUUUCACACUUAAUGUCAAUUUAUAAGUUUUAUUUGUUUUUCUAAGUGUUUGUUUUUUUUAACAAUUUUUAAGACCAAUUUACCACUCUAACAUUAACUUACCCCUUUUUACUUCAAAUUUCUAGUCUAUAUGACUUUUACAAACUUUUUAUUUUGUUUCACACUUAAUGUCAAUUUGUAAAUUUUACAUAAUCUUUCUAAUUUUUUUUAUAAUUCUAAACACUAAUUUGCCAUCACAACAUUAAUUUACCUAUUUUUCCUUCAAUUUACUAUUCCAAUAUAUGGUUUAC